CUGAGGGAAAUACGGAGUCUGCAAACACACUGGGUGAGGUUGUCAAUGGAUUAUAAUAUAAUUAAACUAUUGUGUGUAUAUAUACCCGGUGAUUAUGGAAGUCUCAAAGGGUGUCCUCUAUAACUCCUCAGCCGUAGCCGCCACAGUCGCCUCGACCAUCUUGCUGAGGGAAAUACGAAGUCUGCAAACACACUGGGUGAGGUUGUCAAUGGAUUAUAAUAUAAUUAAACUAUUGUAUAUAUACGGUGAUUGUGGAGGUCUGAGAUGAUUUCCUCUCUAACUCCUCAGCCGUAGCCGCUAGCACCGCGUGGACCAUCUUGCUCAGGGAAAUACGAAGUCUGCAAACACACUGGGUGAGGUUGUCCAUGGAUUAUAAUAUAAUUAAACUAUUGUAUAUAUACGGUGAUUGUGGAGGUCUGAGAUGAUUUCCUCUCUAACUCCUCAGCCGUAGCCGCUAGCACCGCGUGGACCAUCUUGCUCAGGGAAAUACGAAGUCUGCAAACACACUGGGUGAGGUUGUCAAUGGAUUAUAAUAUAAUUAAACUAUUGUGUAUAUAUACCCGGUGAUUGUGGAAGUCUCAAAGGGUGUCCUCUAUAACUCCUCAGCCGUAGCCGCCACAGUCGCCUCGACCAUCUUGCUGAGGGAAAUACGAAGUCUGCAAACACACUGGGUGAGGUUGUCAAUGAAUUAUAAUAAAAUAACAAUCUUGUGUAUACGGUGAUUGUGGAGGUCUGAGAUGAUUUCCUCUCUAACUCCUCAGCCGUAGCCGCUAGCAACGCGUGGACCAUCUUGCUGAGGGAAAUACGAAGUCUGCAAACACACUGGGUGAGGUUGUCAAUGGAUUAUAAUAAAAUAACAAUCUUGUAUAUUGUGGAGGUCUGAGAUGAUUUCCUCUCUAACUCCUCAGCCGUAGCCGCCACAGUCGCCUCGACCAUCUUCCUGAGGGAAAUACGAAGUCUGCAAACACACUGGGUGAGGUUGUCAAUGGAUUAUAAUAUAAUUAAACUAUUGUGUAUAUAUAUACACGGUGAUUGUGGAAGUCUCAGAGGAUCUCCUCUAUAACUCCUCAGCCGUAGCCGCCACAGUCGCCUCGACCAUCUUGCUGAGGGAAAUACGAAGUCUGCAAACACACUGGGUGAGGUUGUCAAUGGAUUAUAAUAAAAUAACAAUCUUGUGUAUAUACGGUGAUUGUGGAGGUCUGAGAUGAUUUCCUAACUCCUCAGCCGUAGCCGCUAGCAACGCGUGGACCAUCUUGCUGAGGGAAAUACGAAGUCUGCAAACACACUGGGUGAGGUUGUCAAUGGAUUAUAAUAUAAUUAAACUAUUGUGUGUGUAUAUAUACACGGUGAUUGUGGAAGUCUGAGAGGAUCUCUCUAACUCCUCAGCCGUAGCCGCCACAGUCGCCUCGAUCAUCUUGCUGAGGGAAAUACGAAGUCUGCAAACACACUGGGUGAGGUUGUCAAUGAAUUAUAAUAUAAUUAAACUAUUGUGUGCAUAUACACGGUGAUUGUGGAAGUCUCAAAGGGUCUCCUCUAUAACUCCUCAGCCGUAGCCGCCACAGUCGCCUCGACCAUCUUGCUGAGGGAAAUACGAAGUCUGCAAACACACUGGGUGAGGUUGUCAAUGAAUUAUAAUAAAAUAACAAUCUUGUGUAUACGGUGAUUGUGGAGGUCUGAGAUGAUUUCCUCUCUAACUCCUCAGCCGUAGCCGCUAGCACCGCGUGGACCAUCUUGCUCAGGGAAAUACGAAGUCUGCAAACACACUGGGUGAGGUUGUCAAUGGAUUAUAAUAUAAUAACAAUCUUGUAUAUUGUGGAGGUCUGAGAUGAUUUCCUCUCUAACUCCUCAGCCGUAGCCGCCACAGUCGCCUCGACCAUCUUCCUGAGGGAAAUACGAAGUCUGCAAACACACUGGGUGAGGUUGUCAAUGGAUUAUAAUAUAAUUAAACUAUUGUGUAUAUAUAUACACGGUGAUUGUGGAAGUCUCAGAGGAUCUCCUCUAUAACUCCUCAGCCGUAGCCGCCACAGUCGCCUCGACCAUCUUGCUGAGGGAAAUACGAAGUCUGCAAACACACUGGGUGAGGUUGUCAAUGGAUUAUAAUAAAAUAACAAUCUUGUGUAUAUACGGUGAUUGUGGAGGUCUGAGAUGAUUUCCUAACUCCUCAGCCGUAGCCGCUAGCAACGCGUGGACCAUCUUGCUGAGGGAAAUACGAAGUCUGCAAACACACUGGGUGAGGUUGUCAAUGGAUUAUAAUAUAAUUAAACUAUUGUGUGUGUGUAUAUACACGGUGAUUGUGGAAGUCUGAGAGGAUCUCUCUAACUCCUCAGCCGUAGCCGCCACAGUCGCCUCGAUCAUCUUGCUGAGGGAAAUACGAAGUCUGCAAACACACUGGGUGAGGUUGUCAAUGAAUUAUAAUAUAAUUAAACUAUUGUGUGCAUAUACACGGUGAUUGUGGAAGUCUCAAAGGGUCUCCUCUAUAACUCCUCAGCCGUAGCCGCCACAGUCGCCUCGACCAUCUUGCUCAGGGAAAUACGAAGUCUGCAAACACACUGGGUGAGGUUGUCAAUGGAUUAUAAUAUAAUAACAAUCUUGUAUAUUGUGGAGGUCUGAGAUGAUUUCCUCUCUAACUCCUCAGCCGUAGCCGCCACAGUCGCCUCGACCAUCUUCCUGAGGGAAAUACGAAGUCUGCAAACACACUGGGUGAGGUUGUCAAUGGAUUAUAAUAUAAUUAAACUAUUGUGUAUAUAUAUACACGGUGAUUGUGGAAGUCUCAGAGGAUCUCCUCUAUAACUCCUCAGCCGUAGCCGCCACAGUCGCCUCGACCAUCUUGCUGAGGGAAAUACGAAGUCUGCAAACACACUGGGUGAGGUUGUCAAUGGAUUAUAAUAAAAUAACAAUCUUGUGUAUAUACGGUGAUUGUGGAGGUCUGAGAUGAUUUCCUAACUCCUCAGCCGUAGCCGCUAGCAACGCGUGGACCAUCUUGCUGAGGGAAAUACGAAGUCUGCAAACACACUGGGUGAGGUUGUCAAUGAAUUAUAAUAAAAUAACAAUCUUGUAUAUAUACGGUGAUUGUGGAGGUCUGAGAUUAUUUCCUGUAACUCCUCAGCCGUAGCCGCCACAGUCGCCUCGACCAACUUGCUGAGGGAAAUACGGAGUCUGAAAACACACUGGGUGAGGUUGUCGUCAAGGAAAUUAAACAUUAUAACACUAUUGUGUAUAUUUAUUAUAGUCAGAAAAUAAACUAUACAAACUCA